UUUGAAAGCCUGUUUCAAAAUCGCCUGCCCUUGGGAGCGAUCGGCUAUGGAAACGAACAGUCUGGAAGAGCACCUGAACGGCUUUGUUCUGUCUAGGUAAAAUGCAAUCACUUGUCAAGCAUCCAAAGAGUUGCGUUGAGCCGCAUUAGCAUCAGGAUGAGGCUUUUAGUGGAAAACAGGUAAGUAUCUAGGUUCGCUGAGGUGGUGCUGUGAAACUGUCUUUGGGAGAAGUUUCAGAUGUGGUCUUAGUAUCACUUUGUCUUUGUGAAAAAUCAUAAACGGCAGUUCAGCCAUGAGCGCAACUAACUCGCUGACCCUUCUGGCUGUUGUGAUGGCGAGUAGGAAAGCAACUAUCAUGCAAAGGUAUGACAAGGAGCAUGUUGCCAUUGGCUCAAAUGGAGAGUGGGAUAAGAUGUUACGGAUACGGUUGAUAUCCCAAGAUGGCACUAUUGCCUUUACUGGGGGAAAGGCAUUAAGAAUUUUUUAGUGGUCGGGCGCGAAAAAACAGUGAGACCAUCUACAUUAUCAUACUCACUAGAAACAGCCGCUACGUGGACCUUGAUGAAUUCGAAAGAUUGUUUCUUUAAGGAGAUACUCCAAGAACAUCAGCAGCUAUAUUAUAUUAAGUUGAAGUGUCCUGUGCACGGCCCACUUAGAGAAAUGGUGCCAUUUCUGCAAAUAGGUCUUCCUUGUACUUUUUUUUUAUUACCGUUCAUUAUUAGAGUAUGAACUUCUUCUGAACAGGUGAGGUUCUGCGUAAUCAUCCUUGGAGGAGACAGACCUUGAGAUGGAGUUUGUGGAUGUCGAGAUAGAGAACAUGACCCUGAUCCUAAGACAGUAUGUCCAGCCACUGUGGAAGAGAAAUCAGAGGAGUAGCUGACAGCUAAGGGAACUAGGUCUGCCUGGGCCAUGCGGGUGCCAUCAGAAUGACCCUGGCCCUGUCCUGUUUUAUUUUGUGUAUGACUUUGUUGAGGAGGGGAAGGUAUAUAACAGAUUGUGAGAGCAACUGAUCAGCAUGGCAUGUCCCAUGGAACUCUUGCCCAGUCCCACUCUGGAGCAAUACCUGGGGCACUUUGCGUUGCCAAAUAUGGUGAAUAAGUAUAUUUCAGCAAACCCAACUUCUGGAAGACGGUACAUAAGGCUUGGGGGUGUAUCUCCCACUUGUAUUUCUGAUUAAAUACUUGACUUAAUUGAUCUAUGGUGGCAUUUUGUUUGCCUGGGAGGAAAAAGGCGGAUAUGGUGACUUGAAGGUGAAUGCACCACUGCUAGAGGGCUGUGGCCUCUUUGCAGAGACAGCAUGAUCUGGACCCGCCUUGUCGAUUUAUAUAAAGCAUGCAAGCAGUACCGUCUGUGAGUAUUCUCACGGACUAGCCCUGCAUUAAGGGAAGAAAGUACUUGCAUGCUCUUCUUACUGGGCAGAGUUCUAAGACAUUGAUGUGUAGGCCUGAUUCUGGAGGGGUAUACCUUCCUUGGAUGCUGUAGUCGGUGGUGUGUGCACUCCCGUCCUCUAGGGAAGCGCCUCUAGUUAUGUGUAUGGGCAGUGGCAUUUGUUGAAAAGGGACUCCGCAGCAGAGAUUGCUGGCCUGCAACCACCAUCUGAUACAGCCCUUGACUUUCAUUGUAGGACUCAGAAGUUUGUGCAAAGGUGCUUGUGAGGCCAAAGCACGUGUGAAGCCACGUCUGCAAGCACCGCAUGUGUAUCCUGGCGUGAGGGACUACAUAUGUUGUCACAAACAUAUCUCUGAGUAGUUGUAGGCACUGUCUGGUGGAUAUUGUAGGACUAUCCAUAACUGUCUUUGCUAGUGUGGCUAAUUAAUAAAGUCUUUGUAUUGGUAGCUGCACCUGUAUUCGUAUUCAAUCCAAUGUUGCGCGUAUGAACUCUUAGCUCCUGAAAUGGAGUAAGUUGCGACUUUUGCACAUUCAUCUAUAGGCACAGAUUGCUGAACGAUCAGAUUGUCUCUCUGGUGCAAUCCAUAGCCCUUUGUUCUGUAGGAGCCACUAUCAGGCAAUUGUCUAGGUAAGAGAAGAUUACUACUCCUGCUUUCCUGAGAUGGGUCACUGCCAUGACAAGGACCUUGGAGAAAACCCUGGAAGCUGAAGACAGGCCAAAGGGCAGGACUCGAUACUGAUAGUGUUGAUCCUUUAGUGCAAACCUGAGGAAUUUUCUGUGCGAAGGUUGAAUUCCUAUGUGGAAGUAUGCAUCCUGUAGGUCAAGGGACGAAUCCAGUUUCCUUUUUCCAUGGCCGGAAUUAUCGUCAUAAGGAUUAUCGUGGUGAAUCGUUGACUUUUUAAGUACUUGUUCAGCCUGCAUAAAUCGUGGAUGGGUCUCCAACCUCUUGAUUUUUUUGGAGUGAGAAAGUAUCUGGAGUAAAAGCCCUUCCCCUUCUGAUGUGCUGGUACAAGCUCUAUUGCCUCCACCUGGAGCAGUCUGAGAGUCUCCUGCUGGAGCAGUGUCUCGUGAGGGGGUUCCUGAAGCGGGACGGGGAAGGAGGUUGGGUUGGUGGAAAGGAAACCCAAAGAGGUGCAGCCAGGAGGCCUGAUGUAUGACCAUCAAAACUGCCAGUGACCUUGACGUGGUGUACACUGUGUCCAGUGAUGCCUGCAGUGUGGUUUCUGCUAUGAGGAUCCCUUCAUCUAUAUUGGACUUGAAAGAAGCUUUGUAGUCCUCCAGCAGCUCUUCAAUAAACGUCUGCAUUUUUUCAAAAUGGUAGUAUGUGUAUUUUGCUAGCAAUGCUGAAUAAUUUGCUAUUCUGAUCUGGAGGGAUGCGGAGGAGUAAGAUUUCCUACCCAAAAUGUCCAGUCUCUUCCUUGUCGCAAGGAAUGGAUUUAUAUUGAGUCUGCUUGUCCCUGAUACUGGCUGCAUCCUCCACCAGAGAGUUUGUUGAUGGGUGGGCGAACAAAAAUGUAGCCUAUCUACUCUUUGUGAGGUCAGGGAAAUCGAGGCUGGUGUUUGCAGCAGAAUCUUUCCCAGGUCCAAUAUGGCCUCAUUGACUGGCAAAGCUAUUUUUGAUGACACCGACACCUGAAAUGUAUCAAUCAACUUGUUGUGUACCACAGGGACCUCCACUAAGAAAAUACCAAGGGAAUCUGCCAUCCUCUUGUACAGGUCCUGACAGGAUUUGAAGUAGUCACCCACCGUCAGCAGAGGGGGGCAUUAUCGAUUUAUCCAGAGAGGAAGGGGAGCUGUGCAAUGGAGGUGUAGAUCUGAAUUGUGGAAUCUUGGAUCGGUUAUCGGUGGCCUCCAUUAUUAGCGAGUUGGACAGUGGAUGAGAGAAAAGGAAAUCAAGAUCCUUAGAAGAAACAAAGUACUUUUCUAUUAGUUCUUUUAUAGGACACAGGCUCCACCUGCCCCUCAGACUCCUUUCCCCAUGAGACCUGGUCUCCCCAUGCAACCUGGAGGGGGCGCGCCUUGCCCCAGCGAGGCGAAGUCCAGCUCCUUGGCACCUCUUCCAACCGAAUGCCUCCGGAGUGGGAAAGGACAGCUCUGAGCUGUGACCCCUGGUCUCCCUGACGUCAGCCACCCCACAAGCUCCAUGCCUGUGCUCCCCGCUCACCCUGUCUGCAUCAGCCAGCAAUGCACUGGAAGCCAGCUAUUUGUUUAUCUUCCUAUUCAGCCUUGCUUAUUUUGAUGGCAUAUCCUCCCAGCUCAGCCCAGGUCAACCUGUGAACCUUCCGCGUCCUGUUUGCCGAAGCCCUACUCUGCAAGCCAAGUGAGCAGAACGGCCAGAGGCCCAGCACAGCAGCCACCUUGUGCACUGGCCAUGGCAGAUAAAAAUAUUCACGGUGAAACAUCCUGGGUCACGGGUCUAUAUUUGAACUGAUUGUAUCUGUGUGUUUAUUCAAGCAGGCUUGAUUGCUGCUCUAUUGGUGCAGUGCAGCCAAAACAACCUUGGCUCCAUAGGCCAAGGCUUCCCUCAAGGCUUCAAGGGUUACUGGGAAGAAAAGCCUGCUGCCCUUCUAGGAUGGUUGGGCUCUGUACAGUGUAAAACUAAAUUCCACACGUAAGGACAAUGUUCCCCUGCUGCCCAGGACUCUUCCAGGGCAGCGAGGUGGGGAGUGGGAAGCAGACUCAGUUGCCUCUCCCCAGGUGCCAAAGCCACAACUGGCCCGCACCCAGCUGCUAAUCCCCCAGGCUUCAACCCUAUCCACAGCAAUAAUGGCAGCGUCCACUGCCAACACAAAAAUCCACGGUGCUUUGAAAUGGAGAAAGGACAGUGCAAAAUAAAGUGAAUGUAAUGAAUAACCCAGGGAGGAAACUCAGAGAUGCACUGUCUGUAGUCAUUCACACUUCUAGUUCAUUCAUUCAUUAUCAAAGACCAUUUUAGUAUAAAUGAAGCUGACCCAACAUUUCAGCAAGCAGGGACCUUACCACAGAAUUUAGGUCCAGCCUCUCUCAGACUUCAAGGGGACUUGGGACAGAUUUUUAAAGGCAUUUAGUCAUCACUGGGCUCCUAUCUGCAUCUCAAGGUACCUAAAUAUCUUUGAUAAUCUGGGCCCUUUAGCUCCAUGAAGCCCUGACCAGGGCAGUUAACUGAAGAGCUCCUUAUUUACAUUUUCGCAUCACCACUGGCUUGUUGUGAUGAUACAUGUUGUUGGAUCUGUCUUGGUUUGAGCUCUGCCAUUUUUCCUCUAGUUGCUCUCUGUUCUGCCUGCUGCAAGCAGCUGCUCAUGAAUGAAUUCUUGCCAAACACCAUGAGAGACAUUUCCUAAAUUUAUAAAUAAGCCCAGGGCUUUAAUGGAAAACAUCUCAUGAUUACUCCAAAAACCCUGAGCCUCUAAAAGUGUGUCUACACUGCAGGGCUUAACUCAAAAUAAGCUAC